GAAGUUGGAGUCGCUAGUAAUCGCAGAUCAGCAACGCUGCGGUGAAUACGUUCCCGGGCCUUGUACACACCGCCCGUCACGUCAUGAAUGUCGGUAACACCCGAAGCCGGUGGCCUAACCCCUUGUGGGAGGGAGCCGUCGAAGGUGGGAUCGGCGAUUGGGACGAAGUCGUAACAAGGUAGCCGUACCGGAAGGUGCGGCUGGAUCACCUCCUUU
rnacentral:rRNA from 1 species